UACAGAGGGUGCAGGCGUUAAUCGGAAUUACUGGGCGUAAAGCGCGCGUAGGUGGUUCGUUAAGUUGGAUGUGAAAUCCCCGGGCUCAACCUGGGAACUGCAUCCAAAACUGGCGAGCUAGAGUAGGGCAGAGGGUGGUGGAAUUUCCUGUGUAGCGGUGAAAUGCGUAGAUAUAGGAAGGAACACCAGUGGCGAAGGCGACCACCUGGGCUCAUACUGACACUGAGGUGCGAAAGCGUGGGGAGCAAACAGG
rnacentral:rRNA from 1 species